UGGGGAAUUUUGCGCAAUGGGCGAAAGCCUGACGCAGCGACGCCGCGUGGGUGAUGAAGGUCUUCGGAUUGUAAAGCCCUGUCGGAGGGGGAGAAACCUCCCGUUGCUAACAUCAACGGGACGUGACGGUACCCUCAAAGGAAGCACCGGCUAACUCCGUGCCAGCAGCCGCGGUAAUACGGAGGGUGCAAGCGUUGUUCGGAAUUACUGGGCGUAAAGCGUCUGUAGGCGGUUAGAGAAGUCGGGUGUGAAAUCCCCGGGCUUAACCCGGGAAUUGCGCUCGAAACCAUCUAGCUUGAGUGUCAGAGGGGUACGUGGAAUUCCCAGUGUAGCAGUGAAAUGCGUAGAUAUUGGGAGGAACACCAAUGGUGAAGACAACGUACUGGAUGAUAACUGACGC
rnacentral:rRNA from 1 species